rnacentral:rRNA from 1 species
AAGUGAGAAUGCCGGUGUGAGUAGCGAAAGACGGGUGAGAAUCCCGUCCACCGAUUGACUAAGGUUUCCAGAGGAAGGCUCGUCCGCUCUGGGUUAGUCGGGUCCUAAGCUGAGGCCGACAGGCGUAGGCGAUGGAUAACAGGUUGAUAUUCCUGUACCACCUAUAAUCGUUUUAAUCGAUGGGGGGACGCAGUAGGAUAGGCGAAGCGUGCGAUUGGAUUGCACGUCUAAGCAGUAAGGCUGAGUAUUAGGCAAAUCCGGUACUCAUUAAGGCUGAGCUGUGAUGGGGAGAAGACAUUGUGUCUUCGAGUCGUUGAUUUCACACUGCCGAGAAAAGCCUCUAGAUAGAAAAUAGGUGCCCGUACCGCAAACCGACACAGGUAGUCAAGAUGAGAAUUCUAAGGUGAGCGA